UACAGAGGUGGCAAGCGUUGUUCGGAAUUACUGGGCGUAAAGGGCGCGUAGGCGGCCCGCUAAGUCGAACGUGAAAUCCCCAGGCUCAACCUGGGAACUGCGUCUGAUACUGGCAGGCUUGAAUCCGGGAGAGGGAUGUGGAAUUCCAGGUGUAGCGGUGAAAUGCGUAGAUAUCUGGAGGAACACCGGUGGCGAAGGCGGCAUCCUGGACCGGCAUUGACGCUGAGGCGCGAAAGCUAGGGGAGCAAACGGG
rnacentral:rRNA from 1 species